rnacentral:rRNA from 1 species
UACGGAGGAUCCAAGCGUUAUCCGGAAUUACUGGGCGUAAAGAGUUGCGUAGGUGGCAUGGUAAGUUGGUAGUGAAAGCGUGCGGCUCAACCGCAUACACAUUACCAAAACUGCCAAGCUAGAGGACGAGAGAGGUUAUUGGAAUUCCUAGUGUAGGAGUGAAAUCCGUAGAUAUUAGGAGGAACACCGAUGGCGUAGGCAGAUAACUGGCUCGUUCCUGACACUAAGGCACGAAAGCGUGGGGAGCAAACGGG